rnacentral:rRNA from 1 species
UCUGCCCGCUGGCGGCGUGCCUAAUACAUGCAAGUCGAGCGAACAGAUGAGGAGCUUGCUCCUCUGACGUUAGCGGCGGACGGGUGAGUAACACGUGGAUAACCUACCUAUAAGACUGGGAUAACUUCGGGAAACCGGAGCUAAUACCGGAUAAUAUAUUGAACCGCAUGGUUCAAUAGUGAAAGACGGUUUUGCUGUCACUUAUAGAUGGAUCCGCGCCGCAUUAGCUAGUUGGUAAGGUAACGGCUUACCAAGGCAACGAUGCGUAGCCGACCUGAGAGGGUGAUCGGCCACACUGGAACUGAGACACGGUCCAGACUCCUACGGGAGGCAGCAGUAGGGAAUCUUCCGCAAUGGGCGAAAGCCUGACGGAGCAACGCCGCGUGAGUGAUGAAGGUCUUCGGAUCGUAAAACUCUGUUAUUAGGGAAGAACAAAUGUGUAAGUAACUAUGCACGUCUUGACGGUACCUAAUCAGAAAGCCACGGCUAACUACGUG